rnacentral:rRNA from 1 species
GAUGAACGCUGGCGGCGUGCCUAAUACAUGCAAGUCGAGCGAACAGACGAGGAGCUUGCUCCUCUGACGUUAGCGGCGAACGGGUGAGUAAGACUUGGAUAACCCACCUAUAAGACUGGGAUAACUUCGGGAAACCGGAGCUAAUACCGGAUAUUAUAUUGAACCGUAUGGUGCAUUAGUGAAAGACGGUUUUGCUGGCACUUAUAGAUGGAUCCGCGCCACGUUAUCUAGUUGCUAAGGUAACGGCUUACCAAGGCAACGAUGCGUAACCGACCGAUGAGGGUGAACCGCCACACUGGAACUGACACAAGGUCCAGUCUCCUCAGAGAGGCAACAGUGAAGUAUCUUCCGCGCUGGGCGAGACACUGACCUAUCAACGCCGCAUGAGAGAUAAGGGUCUCCGGGUCGUAAAACUCUGUUAUUAGGGAAGAACAAAUGUGUAAGUAACUAUGCACGUCUUGACGGUACCUAAUCAGAAAACCACGGCUAACUACGUG